rnacentral:rRNA from 1 species
UACGUAGGGGGCAAGCGUUGUCCGGAUUUAUUGGGCGUAAAGAGCGUGUAGGCGGCCAGACAGGUCAGCUGUGAAAAACUCGAGGCUCAACCUCGAGACGUCGGUUGAAACCGUCUGGCUAGAGUCCGGAAGAGGAGAGUGGAAUUCCCCGGUGUAGCGGUGAAAAUGCGCAGAUAUCGGGAAGAACACCCCGUGGCGAAGGCGGCUCUCUGGGGACGGUACUGACGCUGAGACGCGAAAAAGCGUGGGG